rnacentral:lncRNA from 1 species
UAUUACAUUCCUUAUCCUUCUUUAAGACGAGCAAGGUCUGAUUGGCAAUCUGUGAUAAAAAUUAAAGCCAGGGCAGUGAUUGAAUUACCAAAUGUUGUUGUACCAGCGACAGCGUCCACAAUAGAUGCAUUUCAAGAAGAUACUGUAACUUUGCAGCCUUUAGUCUUAAAUGAGGAAGGAUUACCUGAGACAUUAAAUGAUCCAGCGGGUGGUGAAGUGUUUAUUUCAGAAUUAGUUGAAGAAGAAGAAGAAGAUGAAGAGACAUAUCAUUAUUCAACUUCAGACAAUGACGAAUAUUACUUAGAUUAGUCAACUCUAAGCUGUA